rnacentral:rRNA from 1 species
UUUAUGGAGAGUUUGAUCCUGGCUCAGGAUGAACGCUGGCGGCGUGCCUAAUACAUGCAAGUCGAGCGAACAGAUAAGGAGUUUGCUCCUUUGACGUUAGCGGCGGACGGGUGAGUAACACGUGGGUAACCUACCUAUAAGACUGGAAUAACUCCGGGAAACCGGGGCUAAUGCCGGAUAACAUGUUGAACCGCAUGGUUCUACAGUGAAAGACGGUCUUGCUGUCACUUAUAGAUGGACCCGCGCCGUAUUAGCUAGUUGGUGGGGUAACGGCCUACCAAGGCGACGAUACGUAGCCGACCUGAGAGGGUGAUCGGCCACACUGGAACUGAGACACGGUCCAGACUCCUACGGGAGGCAGCAGUAGGGAAUCUUCCGCAAUGGGCGAAAGCCUGACGGAGCAACGCCGCGUGAGUGAUGAAGGUCUUCGGAUCGUAAAGCUCUGUUGUUAGGGAAGAACAAAUGUGUAAGUAACUGUGCACAUCUUGACGGUACCUAACCAGAAAGCCACGGCUAACUACGUGCCAGCAGCCGCGGUAAUACGUAGGUGGCAAGCGUUAUCCGGAAUUAUUGGGCGUAAAGCGCGCGUAGGCGGUUUUUUUAAGUCUGAUGUGAAAGCCCACGGCUCAACCGUGGAGGGUCAUUGGAAACUGGAAAACUUGAGUGCAGAAGAGGAAAGUGGAAUUCCAUGUGUAGCGGUGAAAUGCGNCAGCGAUAUGGARGAACACCAGUGGAGAAGGCGGCUUUCUGGUCUGCAACUGACGCUGAUGUGCGAAAGCGUGAGGAUCAAAMAGGAUUAGAURCCCUGGUAGUCCACGCMGUAAACGAUGAGUGCUAAGUGUUAGGAGGUUUCCGCCCCUUAGUGCUGCRGCUAACGCAUAAAGCGCUSCGCCUGGGGAGUACGGAGUGGCRAGACUGAAACUCAAAGGAAUUGACGGGGACCCGCACRAGGGGUGGAGCAUGUGGUUUAAUUCGGAGCAACGCGAAGAACCUWACGAAAUCKGGAMAUGCUUUGACCCUGAUAGAGMUAGAGUUUCCCUCUUCGGAGUAAAAAGUGGGRGGUGGUGCAUGGUUGUSGUCAGCUCGUGUGGUGGGGUGUUCGGCCAAGUMGUGMAACKGGGGGWUAGCCUGAUCCGGSAUCAUMAKACUGUUCUGUGAUGGGGGUAGGAAGUUGUWCAAMCCGGAGGUGAGUUGGCACUACCGAAAAWAGCCUCAAGCUACUAWUGCGGUGSCCGUACCGCGAACCGCMACAGGYAAUAMAGAUGAGAAUUCUAAGGUGAGCGMGMGMACUCCGUUAAGGAACUCGGCAAAAUGACCYCGUAACUUCGGGAGAAGGGRUGCGCUKUKACWBGCGUUCGAAGAAGCCAGNCAGUGAAUAGGCCCAAGCGACUGUUUAUCAAAAACACAGGUCUC